UAGCAGGAAGUGCUUGCACUUUGCUGACGAGUGGCGGACGGGUGAGUAAUGCUUGGGAACUUGCCUUUAGGUGGGGGAUAACAGUUGGGAACGACUGCUAAUACCGCGUAAUGUCUACGGACCAAAGGGGGCUUCGGCUCCCGCCUUGAGAGAGGCCCAAGUGAGAUUAGCUAGUUGGUGGGGUAAAGGCCUACCAAGGCAACGAUCUCUAGCUGUUCUGAGAGGAAGAUCAGCCACACUGGGACUGAGACACGGCCCAGACUCCUACGGGAGGCAGCAGUGGGGAAUAUUGCACAAUGGGGGAAACCCUGAUGCAGCCAUGCCGCGUGUGUGAAGAAGGCCUUCGGGUUGUAAAGCACUUUCAGUUGUGAGGAAAGGUUGGUAGUUAAUACCUGCCAGCUGUGACGUUAACAACAGAAGAAGCACCGGCUAACUCCGUGCCAGCAGCCGCGGUAAUACGGAGGGUGCGAGCGUUAAUCGGAAUUACUGGGCGUAAAGCGCACGCAGGCGGCUUGUUAAGCUAGAGGUGAAAGCCCCGCGCUCAACGUGGGAACUGCCUUUAGAACUGGCAGGCUAGAGUCUUGGAGAGGGGAGUGGAAUUCCAGGUGUAGCGGUGAAAUGCGUAGAUAUCUGGAGGAACAUCAGUGGCGAAGGCGGCUCCCUGGCCAAAGACUGACGCUCAUGUGCGAAAGUGUGGGUAGCGAACAGGAUUAGAUACCCUGGUAGUCCACACCGUAAACGCUGUCUACUAGCUGUUUGUGUAUUUAAUACGUGAGUAGCGAAGCUAACGCGCUAAGU
rnacentral:rRNA from 1 species